AAUCAUUUCAGACCCUACUAUGUCUUUAUUGAGGGGGUAAAUCAUUUCAGACCCCACUGUCUUUAUUGAGGGGGUAAAUCAUUUCAGACCCCACUGUCUUUAUUUAGGGGGUAAAUCAUUUCAGACCCUACUAUGUCUUUAUUUAGGGGGUAAAUCAUUUCAGACCCUACUAUGUCUUUAUUGAGGGGGUAAAUCAUUUCAGACCCCACUGUCUUUAUUGAGGGGUGAAUCAUUUCAGACCCUGCUAUGUCUUUAUUGAGGGGGUAAAUCAUUUCAGACCCUGCUAUGUCUUUAUUUAGGGGGUAAAUCAUUUCAGACCCUGCUAUGUCUUUAUUGAGGGGGUAAAUCAUUUCAGACCCCACUGUCUUUAUUUAGGGGGUAAAUCAUUUCAGACCCCGCUGUCUUUAUUGAGGGGGUAAAUCAUUUCAGACCCUACUAUGUCUUUAUUGAGGGGGUAAAUCAUUUCAGACCCUACUAUGUCUUUAUUGAGGGGGUAAAUCAUUUCAGACCCUACUGUCUUUAUUUAGGGGGUAAAUCAUUUCAGACCCUACUGUCUUUAUUGAGGGGGUAAAUCAUUUCAGACCCUACUGUGUCUUAAAUGGGACAGGAUCCAGAACUGAGCAGGUUUUUCCAUCAACUGCCAUCAUGGUCAGAGUUUGCAGGGAAAUCAUAUUUUUUGAGGGGAUUAAACCUAAAACCUCAAACAUGUCUGGCUGGACCUCUAGCCUGGUCAUGGGAGUAGGAUAUACAACCAGAUCUAGCCUGGUCAUGGGUGUAGGCUAUACAACCAGAUCUAGCCUGGUCAUGGGAGUAGGCUAUACAACACAAACAGAUCUAGCCUGGUCAUGGGAGUAGGCUAUACAACACAAACAGACCUAGCCUGGUCAUGGGAGUGGGCUAUACAACACAACCAGACCUAGCCUGGUCAUGGGAGUGGACUAUACAACACAAACAGACCUAGCCUGGUCAUGGGAGUGGGCUAUACAACACAAACAGACCUGGUCAUGGGAGUGGACUAUACAACACAAACAGAUAUAGCCUGGCCCUGGGAGUGGGCUAUACAACACAAACAGAUCUAGCCUGGUCAUGGGAGUGGGCUAUACAACACAACCAGACCUAGCCUGGUCAUGGGAGUGGGCUAUACAACACAACCAGAUCUAGCCUGGUCAUGGGAGUGGACUAUACAACACAGAUCUAGCCUGGUCAUGGGAGUGGGCUAUACAACACAAACAGACCUUUUCCAGUACGUGACUUAUUAACCAGUUUACAUGUUGUAGUAAUUCUGCUCUCUUCAUCUGUUUCCAGCCAAUGCCUACAUAUCCACCAUCCUCUACCUCAGGACCCAGGUAUGGAGAAAACAACCAUUGGAACCAACCUCCUGCCUCCCAGCCACCUCUCCGCCAGCAAGGCCCAGGUGUUCCCAAACCCAUCCCUCCUAAGCAUUAACCCUGACAGAAACACCCAUUCGAACAUAAUGGGGGGCUCUUCCCUUAUUCGUUAUUGUACAUUUCAUAUUUGUAUUUUACUCACAUUUCUAUGUUCGUUUUGUGGAUAUCUAAAAAAUAAUGAUAAUUUAAAAAACAUUUUAUUGCAGGAACAUGAUUUGGUGACAGGGACUUUUUUAAGAUAUUGCUUUUUACAUUAUUACUAUGGAAAUGAAGGUAACAUAUUUUGUAAUAAAAAAUAUACAUAUUGUUGAGUUCCAGAAAGGCUCAAUUUAUUUUAUGAGCGGUUUACAAGAUUUUUUAAAAAUAUUUAAAUGUUACUCAUAAUAAAUAUUGAAUAUAAUA